rnacentral:rRNA from 1 species
UACGGGGGGGGCAAGCGUUGUUCGGAAUUACUGGGCGUAAAGGGCUCGUAGGUGGCCAACUAAGUCAGACGUGAAAUCCCUCAGCUUAACUGGGGAACUGCGUCCGAUACUGGAUGGCUCGAGUUUGGGAGAGGGAUGCGGAAUUCCAGGUGUAGCGGUGAAAUGCGUAGAUAUCUGGAGGAACACCGGUGGCGAAGGCGGCAUCCUGGACCAACACUGACACUGAGGAGCGAAAGCCAGGGGAGCAAACGGG